rnacentral:tRNA from 1 species
GACAGUGUGGGCUAGUGGUUAGUGCACCGGACUGGGACUCAGGAGACCCAGGUUCUAUUCCUGGCUCUGCUG